rnacentral:rRNA from 1 species
UACGUAGGGUGCGAGCGUUGUCCGGAAUUAUUGGGCGUAAAGGGCUCGUAGGCGGUCCAUCGCGUCGGGAGUGAAAAGCUGGGGCUUAACCCCAGUCCUGCUUUCGAUACGGGUGGACUAGAGGUAGGCAGGGGAGAAUGGAAUUCCUGGUGUAGUGGUGAAAUGCGUAGAUAUCGGGAGGAAUACCAGUGGCGAAGGCGGCUUCCUGGCCUGUUCUUGACGCUGAGGCGCGAAAGCUAGGGUAGCAAACGGG